rnacentral:rRNA from 1 species
CUACGGGGGGCUGCAGUGGGGAAUAUUGGACAAUGGGCGAAAGCCUGAUCCAGCCAUGCCGCGUGUGUGAAGAAGGCCUUCGGGUUGUAAAGCACUUUCAGUGGGGAAGAAAGCCUUGGGGCUAAUACCCUCGAGGAAGGACAUCACCCACAGAAGAAGCACCGGCUAACUCCGUGCCAGCAGCCGCGGUAAUACGGAGGGUGCGAGCGUUAAUCGGAAUUACUGGGCGUAAAGCGCGCGUAGGCGGUCUGAUAAGCCGGUUGUGAAAGCCCCGGGCUCAACCUGGGAACGGCAUCCGGAACUGUCAGGCUAGAGUGCAGGAGAGGAAGGUAGAAUUCCCGGUGUAGCGGUGAAAUGCGUAGAGAUCGGGAUGAAUACCAGUGGCGAAGGCGGUCUUCUGGACUGACACUGACGCUGAGGUGCGAAAGCGUGGGUAGCAAACAGGAUUAGAUACCCCUGUAGUC